rfam:Myotis lucifugus cont2.29743, whole genome shotgun sequence.
GGUGGUUCUUGGGUAACGCACCCCAGAAUUGGGCUCCCUCCUCUCUGGUUCUGGGUGCACCACCCGAGAACCACA